UACGUAGGGUGCAAGCGUUAAUCGGAAUUACUGGGCGUAAAGCGUGCGCAGGCGGUGAUGUAAGACAGAUGUGAAAUCCCCGGGCUCAACCUGGGAACUGAAUUUGUGACUGCAUCGCUGGAGUGCGGCAGAGGGGGAUGGAAUUCCGCGUGUAGCAGUGAAAUGCGUAGAUAUGCGGAGGAACACCGAUGGCGAAGGCAAUCCCCUGGGCCUGCACUGACGCUCAUGCACGAAAGCGUGAGGAGCAAACAGG
rnacentral:rRNA from 1 species